UAUAGCCUCGUUAGUGUUAUGUUAUUGUGUUACUUUUGAAUGUAUUUAAUUUUUUACUUUAGUUUAUUUGGUAAAUAUUUUCUUAAACUUCUUGGUUAAGGGCGUGUAAGUAUGCAUUUCACGGUAAAGUCUACAAUCAAAUUGCGCAUGUGACACAAUUUGAUUUGAUUUGAAAUAGCUAAUCCUGGCUACCAAUGUUCCAAUAUUAAUUUAUUGAGGUAAGGUUUACUUGAACGAGAACCUGUUUAAUCUAGGGGUCAUUCUUUUUAUUUUUGGAAAAUAACGUUCCCAAAGUAAACGGCUAUUUUUCAGGACCAGAAAAUAGAAUAUGCAUAUAAUUGACAGUUUAGGAUAGAAAACACUCUAAUGUUUCCAAAACUGUAAAGAUAUUGUCUGUGAGUAUAACAGAACUGAUGUUGCAGGCAAAAGAAUGAGAAAAUCCAAUCAGGAACGCAGCGGUUUCUAAAUAAGAGUCCCUUCCUAUCUAUGCUUCCCUAUUGAGCAGUGAAUGGGAUAUCAACGAGAUUCCUUUUUCUAUGGCUUCCUUAAUGUGUCUAGUAUCACAAGACAUAGUUUCAGGCUUUUAUUUUGAAAAAUGAGCCUGAGCGACAUCCCUGCGUCAGUGUCCACCUGAUGGCUCUUUGUGUAUUUCUCCACAAAAGACAGAGGUAGCCAUUUUUCCACCCGGUCUUACUGUCCCGGUUGAUAUAUUAUCGAAUAGAUAUUUGAAAAACAAAUUGAGGAUUGAUUAUAAACAACGUUUGCCAUGUUUCUGUCGAUAUUAUGGAGAUAAUUUGGAAUAUUUUCCAGCGUUGUCAUGACCGCAAUUUCUGUCGAUAUUAUGGAGCUAAUUUGGAAUAUUUUUCAGCAUUGGCAUGACCGCAAUUUCCGGUCGUUUUCUCAGCCAAACGUGAAGAGGAGCUAUAUUUGGCUACAAAAAAAAAUAAUCUGGAAAAAAGGAACAAUUGCUAUCUAACUGGGAGUCUCGUUAGUGAAAACAUCCGAAGCUCAUUAAAGGUAAACUAUUUAAUUUGAUUGCUUUUCUGAUUUUUGUGACCAGAUUGCCUGCUGUUAGCUAGGCAUAAUGCGAUGCUAGGCUAUCGGUAAAUUUACACAAAUGCUUGUCUUGCUUUGGCUGUAAAACAUAUUUAAAAAAUCUGAGAUGACAGGGUGAUUAACAAAAUUAUAUUUCACUUGUGAUUUCAUGAAUAUGAAUAUUUUCUAGUAAGAUUUUUUGUCCGUUGCGUUAUGCUACUUAAGUGUCAGUUGAUGACAAUUCUCCCGGAUCCGGGAUGGGUAGUUACAAGAUUAACAUGGCGUCCAAACUUUCUGUACUUUUUUUCCUAUGUUUUAGAUCCAAAUUGUUUUAUUUUCGAUGAACAAAGGCUCAGUUUACUUUAUGUAAUAUAUGUAAAUAUGUGAUGUCACGGUAAAAUGUGUUAGUGUUAAUAUUUGUACGAAAAUAACGUUUAACAGUUUGCUAGCUUGAUGAUUAGCCAAGCUAAAUUUGGUUAACGCUAUAGUAGUUAGCUCUAGCCUAGUUGGUUUUAGUCAAUGUCAGUUUAAUGUAAUGGUUGUAGUAUAAUGGUGUAAUUAAAUUAUGCCACCUCCUGGUGGAUUAGUGUGUUUACAUUGUCUAAUACACUCAGCGAUAAAGGUAUGGGAUUCUGGGUAAUCCACAGCGGAUCUAUGGAGAAUUGCUGUUGAUGUAUGGUGACUCCACGUUUGGAUGAACGGACCAACAGGACUGCCAUGGGAAAGUCCUUUGACGGGUACUAGGAAUGGUGGAAGGACAAUCUGAAGGUGAGACUAAACAUGGACAGGGCGCAUGAGGAGGAGCUACCUGAGAAGAAUCAAGGGGACCAAGUGCUUUGACAUCUGGGUGAAUGGCUUGGCUUGGAAGAAAGGAAGACUAGACCCGGGAAAGCUUGGUGCUCUUUCACUCCUAGCUGGGGUCAACAUCCGUUAAGGGGCCAUCACUUACCAACCCCACUGACAUCAAAAAUUAGACUGGUAUCCUUUCUGUCUGCCAUUAACAUUAUUGCAUGUCUCAUCAAACAUUAAAUAAAAUAAUUCAAUAAC